rnacentral:rRNA from 1 species
UAAUACGGAGGGUGCAAGCGUUAUCCGGAUUCACUGGGUUUAAAGGGUGCGUAGGCGGGCCGGUAAGUCAGUGGUGAAAUCUUGGGGCUUAACCCCAGAACUGCCGUUGAUACUAUCGGUCUUGAAUGUUGUGGAGGUGAGCGGAAUAUGUCAUGUAGCGGUGAAAUGCAUAGAGAUGACAUAGAACACCAAUUGCGAAGGCAGCUCACUACGCAACGAUUGGCGCUGAGGCACGAAAGCGUGGGGAUCAAACAGGA